UACGGGGGGGAGCAAGCGUUGUUCGGAUUUACUGGGCGUAAAGGGCGCGUAGGCGGCCACUGCAAGUCAGUUGUGAAAUCUCCGGGCUUAACCCGGAAAGGUCAACUGAUACUGCAGGGCUAGAGUGCAGAAGGGGCAACUGGAAUUCUCGGUGUAGCGGUGAAAUGCGUAGAUAUCGAGAGGAACACCUGCGGCGAAGGCGGGUUGCUGGGCUGACACUGACGCUGAGGCGCGACAGCGUGGGGAGCAAACAGG
rnacentral:rRNA from 1 species